UACGGAAGGUGCAAGCGUUGUUCGGAGUGACUGGGCGUAAAGCGCGCGUAGGCUGGAGGAUAAGACGACUGUGAAAGCCCUGGGCUUAACCUGGGAAGUGCAGCCGUGACUGUCUUUCUUGAAUGUCUGAGAGGCUAGUGGAAUUCCGGGUGUAGGAGUGAAAUCCGUAGAUAUCUGGAGGAACAUCGGAGGCGAAGGCGGCUGGCUGGCAGAACAUUGACGCUGAGGCGCGAGAGCGCGGGGAGCAAACAGG
rnacentral:rRNA from 1 species